rnacentral:rRNA from 1 species
GCCUCCCUCCGCCGCCACUCAGACCUCCGUACGGGGCGAGCAGUAGGGAAUCUUGCGCAAUGGGCGAAAGGCCUGACGCAGCCAUGCCGCGUGAAUGAUGAAGGUCUUAGGAUUGUAAAAUUCUUUCACCGGGGAAGANAAUGACGGUACCCGGAGAAGAAGCCCGGCAACUUCGUGCAGCAGCCGCGGUAAUUC